rnacentral:rRNA from 1 species
GAUGAACGCUGGCGGCGUGCUUAAUACAUGCAAGUCGAGCGAAGCGGGGACGGGUGAGUAACACGUGGAUUACCUCCUCUUAGACUGGGAUAACAUCGGGGAACCGGAGCUAAAACGGAUACUUCUAGAUGGAUCCGCGCUGCAGUAGCUAGUUGGUAAGUUAACGGCUUACAAGGGGAACGAUGCAUAGCCGACCGGGGAGGGUGAUCGGCCACUCGGGAACUGAGACACGGUCCAGACUCCUACGGGAGGCAGCAGUAGGGAAUCUUCCGCAAUGGGCGAAAGCCUGACGGAGCAACGCCGCGUGAGUGAUGAAGGUCUUCGGAUCGUAAAACUCUGUUAUUAGGGAAGCGGUACCUAAUCAGAAAGCCACGGCUAACUACGUGCCAGCAGCCGCGGUAAUAC